rnacentral:rRNA from 1 species
GACAGAGGGUGCAAACGUUGUUCGGAAUUACUGGGCGUAAAGCGCGUGUAGGCGGCUCGGAAAGUCGGAUGUGAAAGCCCUGGGCUUAACCUAGGAAGUGCAUUCGAAACUCCCGAGCUUGAGUUCUGGAGAGGAAGGCGGAAUUCUCGGUGUAGAGGUGAAAUGCGUAGAUAUCUGGAGGAACACCGGUGGCGAAGGCGGCAUCCUGGACCAACACUGACACUGAAUCGCGAAAGCUAGGGGAGCAAACGGG